rnacentral:rRNA from 1 species
GUAUUUUGUAAAGUUGUUCUAGUUUUGUAACUAAAAUGGUUUGGCAGUGAGCGAUUCUUAUUAGGGGAAUAUGCAUAGUGAAGGAUGGUCCACCUAUUAGUUUACUCUUUUUAUGUUGGUGUAUGUCUGGUUUGAUAUUAUUGUUGAAUAAUUUAAGUUUGUGUAGUUUUAGUUAAGCUAAGUCUAUGUGCUGCUUAUGGGAGUUUUUGUGUGUUACAUUAAUAAGGGUGUUAUUGUAAGAUGAUGUGAUUUAGA